GGGUGCCACUAUGAGGUCUCAUGAAGAAAAAAGCGAAAAGAAAAAACUUACUUUCUUGCAAAAUCCUAGAUCUUGAAACCUUAGAUGUUGUUGUAUGUGAUGCAAGUUGUGAAGAUGAUUAGUUACAUUUAAUCUUGUUUAAUCAAAAUUAUUUUGAUUUAAAAUGAUAAAAAUUUAGCUUUGAUCUAAAAGAUUUUAUAAUUUGAUAU
rnacentral:lncRNA from 1 species